rnacentral:lncRNA from 1 species
UUGCGCUCCAGGGUUGAGUCUAGUUUAUAAGGAGAGAAGCGGCUGUCCUGAGACCCAUGCCUUCCCCGGCCUGUGUCUGUGGGCUGUGGAGCACAGUGUGGAAGCAGAGAGAGGCUCUCAAACGUUCUAGAGAGAGGGCAGGUCCUAGACGCGCUUCUAGACAUUACCGCACCCCUUCUAGGAAGAUGCUGAGCGUCCCCAGGGACAAGUUGGAGCCUGAAGCCUCAGAGUUGCCAACGAUGAAGGAAAGAAGCAAAGAUUCGGAGCCACAGGGCAAGCUGAGGACAAGAGAAGAUCAGCAGCAGCUGCUGUCUGCUGCACGCCCACAGCGGCUCAGACCACAGCCUCUUCUCAGCAUCUUGACGGCUUCCUCCCCAGCCCAGGCCCCUCAGGCUCAGGACCCUCUCACACCCACGGCUCAGCCCUGACGCCUGCGGGCUCCAUGACUGGGAAGGCAUUCCUAUCUCUACAGCCAGUGCUCCCUGAAUCCCUCUGUCUCAGAGAGGCCUUCUCUGCCCCGACACCCCUGUCUCCUCACCCAGCUUCAUUUUCCUCCGGCACCCUUUCACAGUGUGACCUAACACGCGAGCCAUGCUGUCUCUCCUGUACUAUGAUGGGAUGUGGGAGGAAUUUGGCUCAUCCUGAUCUAACUGGAGCAUUCCUACUGUUUAUGAAAGAGUCUUGCCUGUUCCCACAGGCAUUUGCUGAAUGAAUGGGUUAAUAAAACCGGAAGGAAAAGCUGUGGCCAAGGUCACUGUCUCCGUCCAUAUGUGUUGCUGUGGAGGAACACCUGAGGCUGGGUAAUUGACGCAGAAAAGAGGUUUAUUUGGCUCCCGUUCUGCAGGCUGUACAGGAAGCACAGUGCCAGCAGUGGCUUCUGACAAGGGCCUCAGGAAGCUUCACUCUUGGCAGCAGGUGGAGGGGAGCCCAUGUGUGCAGAGUUCUCAUGGUGAGAGGGAAGUAAGAAUUGGGAGGCAUCAGGUUUCUUUACUAAACAGGUCUCACAGGGACGACUAGAGUGAGACUCACCCACUCAUCACCAUGAGGGUCAGGCCCUAUGUGAGGGAUCUGCCCCCGUGGCCCAAACACCUCCCACCGGGCCCACCUCCAGCAUUGGGAUUCAAUUUCAACACGCGGCUUGGAGGGCCACAUACCCAGACCACAGCAGCCACCUGAGCCUGUCCGCUCCCACAGCUCCCGCAGGUCCCGCACGGCUGGCCUGUUGAGGGGCGGCCUUAAGGGGUCCUGUCUGCCCCCACCUCUGAAGAGCAGCCCGAUGAGGCCGGGGCCCUGGCGCUGCAUCCCUAGCCCAGUUCUUGGGAGUUUCUUUACGAGACGCCGCUGAGAAGGGCAUUUGCCUCGACCGAAUGGCCUACCUCUGCCCUCUCCUGUGAAACAGAAUCAGAGCUCCAGAGCUGCAGAGCUGAGAGGGGCUUCGGCUGAAUCCACCUCUUCAUUUUAAUGCUGACCAAUCUGAGUCCUGGGGCUGGAGACAGACAUGCCAGGAUGCUCCCCAAACAGGAGGUGACGCUGUGGAGGGGACACUGCACCCUGAUCUGCUCUUUGCAGCGCUGGUGGAGGGUAGAGCAUGGGCCCUCUCAGCCUCCCCUGGUGGGUCGGAUGGAUUUCCUUAAAAACUACGGAGAAGCUGAACGUCCAGGAUGGAAUAUCCCCUUUGACAAAUGUUAUUGGGGUUAGCGCUGGGGGAUGACCAGGUGAGAUGAAUACAGCUUGCUAUUUUCAGUGGCUCUUUUCCAAAGAAUGAGUGAAAGGUUUCUUGACCACCCUCUUCCUCUGAUCCAAGCCACCAGUGGGUGGCUUUUGCUAAUACCCAAACUACCCGUGAUCAAUGGGCAAAAUUCGGGCUUCCUCAGAAAGUCCAGGGUGAAGUUGGAUGUAGAAACUCAUGACCUUCAUGGAGCUGAGUCUGUUCCCAGCACUCAGAGUUGAAUAAAUACUUGUUGACUGAGUGGAUAAAUUUUUUAAUUUUAAGCCUCUGGCUCUCUUAGCUAAUCCAGGAGUCUGGGGAAAUCAGUCUUUGUGAAGUUUUGAUCAAAGACGCCUUAGAUCCCUCUGGAACAAGGAUGGAUAGAAAUCAUAAUGAUUUUAAAGGUGGGACACCAGUGCCAGGGAGGGAGGGAAAGUGCCGAUUCCCACCUUCAGCAGGCGCCCGACCACUGCCUGCUACUACACAGCUGCGGGAGGCCCAGGCCGGUGAGAGGCGAAUCCCUGCCAUAAACCGUUCCCAGCCGUGUGCAGGAGAGAGCCACUGCCUGCUCUGUGGGCGGCUGCGGGAGGCCCAGGGGGACAAGAGGCGAAUCCCUGCCAUAAACCGUUCCCAGCUGUGUGCAGGAGAGAGCCACUGCCUGCUCUGUGGGCAGCUGUGGGAGGCCCAGGGGGACAAGAGGUGAAUCCCUGCCAUAAACCGUUCCCAGCUGUGUGCAGGAGAGAGCCACUGCCUGCUCUGUGGGCGGCUGUGGGAGGCCCAGGGGAGGAGGCGAAUCCCUGCCAUAAAACUGUUCCCAGCUGCAGAAAAUGUAGACUGAGAAAGGGAAGAACUGUGUCAGGUGGGAAGCCCCUUGGGCAAGUCCGAGAACCUCCGGUCGGUCAUAAGCACGGCCCUUUACAGUUAGUUAUUUGAGACUGAGUUGCUCUGUUGCCCAGGCUGGAGUGCAGUGGCGCGAUCUCAGUUCACUGCAACCUCUGCCUCCCAGGUUCAAGCGAUUCUCCUGCCUCAGCCUCCCGAGUAGCUGGGACUACAGGUGCACCACCACCCCCGGCUAAUUUAGUAGUUUUUUGUGUUUUUAGUAGAGAUGGGGUUUCACCAUGUUGGUCAGGCUGGUCUCUUAACUCCUGACCCCAAGUGAUCCACGCACCUCGGCCUCCCAAAGCUGGGGUUACAGAUGUGAGCCACCAUGCCGGCCAACCCCUUACAUGUAUAUCACAUAUUUCUGUGCAUGUUAUUUCUAAUGCAAUAGACAGACGUGUCUGUGCUUCUCACAGUGUUAUUCACUACGUUUUAAUGAACUCCUCUUCUUGUAUUAAGGCAUGGCACGUGCACACCAGAGGGCUUCCCUCAGGGGAAGGGAAGGGGCGUCUCCCUCCCAGCCCCAGCACUCAUACAUCUUCCUAGGAAUCAGCUGCUGUCACCGGGAACUUGUUUAUCCUUCCAGAAGCCACGUGUGUGCACUGACGCAGAACUGCGAACUCACAGGAUGGGUGGAACAGAACGCGCUUGUGGCAAGCCUCCCCCUUGCUGUGUGACGGCGGUACUCGCUUGCGGUGAGAGAAUCCAG